GGCCAGACUCCUACGGGAGGCAGCAGUGAGGAAUAUUGGUCAAUGGUCGGGAGACUGAACCAGCCAAGCCGCGUGAGGGAUGAAGGUACAGAGUAUCGUAAACCUCUUUUGUCAGGGAACAAAGGCGGGGACGUGUCCCCGGAUGAGUGUACCUGAAGAAAAAGCAUCGGCUAACUCCGUGCCAGCAGCCACGGUAAUACGGAGGAUGCGAGCGUUAUCCGGAUUUAUUGGGUUUAAAGGGUGCGCAGGCGGUGUUGUAGGUGCGCGGACAAAGCCCGGCGCCCCCCCCCCGCCCGCCGUUGAAACUGGCAGUCUCGAGUUGGAGAGAAGUAUGCGGAAUGCGCGGUGUAGCGGUGAAAUGCAUAGAUAUCACGCAGAACUCCGAUUGCGAAGGCAGCAUACCGGCGCGCAACUGACGCUCAUGCACGAAAGCGUGGGUAUCGAACAGGAUUAGAUACCCUUGUA
rnacentral:rRNA from 1 species